CCGUAGCCCAAGAGAUCGGGAUAACACCUGGAAACAGAUGCUAAUACCGGAUAACAACAGAUGAUGCCUAUCAACUGUUUAAAAGAUGGUUCUGCCAUCACUCUUGGAUGGACCUGCGGUGCAUUAGCUAGUUGGUAGGGUAACGGCCUACCAAGGCGAUGAUGCAUAGCCGAGUUGAGAGACUGAUCGGCCACAUUGGGACUGAGACACGGCCCAAACUCCUACGGGAGGCAGCAGCC
rnacentral:rRNA from 1 species